CCAGAUCCCCCGCGCGGCGUCACCGCGCGGAACUCCCCCAGGGCCGGAAGGCAGCAAGGGUACGCACGCUCUGUCGGGUGCGCGGGGGAUCCUUCAG
rnacentral:SRP_RNA from 1 species